rnacentral:rRNA from 1 species
CGAACGGUCGCGUAACACGUAAGCAACCUGCCCCAAAGACCGGGACAACGUUUCGAAAGGAGCGCUAAUACCGGAUGUGACCUCUUUUUGGAAUCGGGAAGAGAUUAAAGCGAGCAAUCGGCUUUAGGAGGGGCUUGCGGCCUAUCAGCUAGAUGGUGGGGUAACGGCCUACCAUGGCGACGACGGGUAGCUGGUCUGAGAGGAUGGUCAGCCGGAUUGGGACUGAGAUACGGCCCAG